rnacentral:rRNA from 1 species
AACGAACGCUGGCGGCAGGCCUAACACAUGCAAGUCGAACGCCCUAGCAAUAGGGAGUGGCAGACGGGUGAGUAACGCGUGGGAACCUUCCCUAUGGUGCGGAAUAACUCGCCGAAAGGCGUGCUAAUACCGCAUAAGCCCGCAAGGGGAAAGAUUUAUCGCCAUAGGAUGGGCCCGCGUAGGAUUAGCUAGUUGGUGAGGUAAUGGCUCACCAAGGCGACGAUCCUUAGCUGGUGAGAGAAUGACCAGCCACACUGGGACUGAGACACGGCCCAGACUCCUACGGGAGGCAGCAGUGGGGAAUCUUGGACAAUGGGCGCAAGCCUGAUCCAGCCAUGCCGCGUGAGUGACGAAGGCC